rnacentral:rRNA from 1 species
UACGUAGGGGGCUAGCGUUGUCCGGAAUCAUUGGGCGUAAAGCGCGUGUAGGCGGCCCGAUAAGUCCGCUGUGAAAGUCCAGGGCUCAACCCUGGGAUGCCGGUGGAUACUGUCGGGCUCGAGUCCGGAAGAGGCGAGUGGAAUUCCUGGUGUAGCGGUGAAAUGCGCAGAUAUCAGGAGGAACACCAAUGGCGAAGGCAGCUCGCUGGGACGGUACUGACGCUAAGGCGCGAAAGCGUGGGGAGCGAACAGG